UACGUAGGGUGCAAGCGUUAAUCGGAAUUACUGGGCGUAAAGCGUGCGCAGGCGGUGAUGUAAGUCAGAUGUGAAAUCCCCGGGCUCAACCUGGGAACUGCAUUUGUGACUGCAUCGCUGGAGUGCGGCAGAGGGGGGUGGAAUUCCGCGUGUAGCAGUGAAAUGCGUAGAUAUGCGGAGGAACACCGAUGGCGAAGGCAAUCCCCUGGGCCUGCACUGACGCUCAUGCACGAAAGCGUGGGGAGCAAACAGG
rnacentral:rRNA from 1 species